UCGGGAAUUUUGGGCAAUGGGCGAAAGCCUGACCCAGCAACGCCGCGUGAAGGAUGAAGUAUUUCGGUAUGUAAACUUCGAAAGAAUAGGAAGAAUAAAUGACGGUACUAUUUAUAAGGUCCGGCUAACUACGUGCCAGCAGCCGCGGUAAUACGAAGGGGGCUAGCGUUGUUCGGAUUUACUGGGCGUAAAGCGCAUGUAGGCGGGCCGUUAAGUUAGGGGUGAAAUCCCGAGGCUCAACCUCGGAACUGCCUCUAAAACUGGCGGCCUGGACCUAAGUAGAGGCAAGUGGAAUUGCGAGUGUAGAGGUGAAAUUCGUAGAUAUUCGCAGGAACACCAGUGGCGAAGGCGACUUGCUGGACUUAUGGUGACGCUGAGAUGCGAAAGCGUGGGGAGCAAACAGGAUUAGAUACCCUUGUAGUCCCUGAGCGGGCUGGCAAGGCGCAU
rnacentral:rRNA from 1 species